rnacentral:rRNA from 1 species
ACGCGAAGGGGGCUUCGGUCCUGAGUAGAGUGGCGAACGGGUGAGUAACACGUGGGUGAUCUACCUUCGAGUGGGGGAUAACGUUCCGAAAGGAACGCUAAUACCGCAUGACGUUCUGGGUUUAAAGACCUGGAAACCAAAGCCGGGGACCGCAAGGCCUGGCGCUUGGAGAGGAGCCCGCGUCCGAUUAGCUAGUUGGCGGGGUAACGGCCCACCAAGGCGACGAUCGGUAGCCGGCCUGAGAGGGCGGACGGCCACACUGGAACUGAGACACGGUCCAGACUCCUACGGGAGGCAGCAGUGGGGAAUUGUUCACAAUGGGCGCAAGCCUGAUGACGCAACGCCGCGUGGGGGAUGAAGGUCUUCGGAUUGUAAACCCCUGUCGAAUGGGACGAAAGACUCUGGAGCUAAUCAUCCGGAGAGUGACGGUACCGUUAAAGGAAGCCACGGCUAACUCUGUGCCAGCAGCCGCGGUAAUACAGAGGUGGCAAGCGUUGUUCGGAAUUACUGGGCGUAAAGGGCGCGUAGGCGGCCUUCUAAGUCAGACGUGAAAUCCCCCGGCUUAACCUGGGAACUGCGUCUGAUACUGGGAGGCUAGAGUAUGGGAGAGGGAUGUAGAAUUCCAGGUGUAGCGGUGAAAUGCGUAGAUAUCUGGAGGAAUACCGGUGGCGAAGGCGGCAUCCUGGACCAUUACUGACGCUGAGGCGCGAAAGCUAGGGGAGCAAACGGGAUUAGAUACCCCGGUAGUCCUAGCCCUAAACGAUGAAUACUUGGUGUGGCGGGUAUCGAUCCCUGCCGUGCCGAAGCUAACGCAUUAAGUA